GACGAACUUUGGCGGCGCGCCUAACACAUGCAAGUCGAACGAGCGAGAGAGAGCUUGCUUUCUCGAGCGAGUGGCGAACGGGUGAGUAACGCGUGAGGAACCUGCCUCAAAGAGGGGGACAACAGUUGGAAACGACUGCUAAUACCGCAUAAGCCCCACGGCUCGGCAUCGAGCAGAGGGAAAAGGAGCAAUCCGCUUUGAGAUGGCCUCGCGUCCGAUUAGCUAGUUGGUGAGGUAACGGCCCACCAAGGCGACGAUCGGUAGCCGGACUGAGAGGUUGAACGGCCACAUUGGGACUGAGACACGGCCCAGACUCCUACGGGAGGCAGCAGUGGGGAAUAUUGCACAAUGGGGGAAACCCUGAUGCAGCGACGCCGCGUGGAGGAAGAAGGUCUUCGGAUUGUAAACUCCUGUUGUUGGGGAAGAUAAUGACGGUACCCAACAAGGAAGUGACGGCUAACUACGUGCCAGCAGCCGCGGUAAAACGUAGGUCACAAGCGUUGUCCGGAAUUACUGGGUGUAAAGGGAGCGCAGGCGGGAAGACAAGUUGGAAGUGAAAUCUAUGGGCUCAACCCAUAAACUGCUUUCAAAACUGUUUUUCUUGAGUAGUGCAGAGGUAGGCGGAAUUCCCGGUGUAGCGGUGGAAUGCGUAGAUAUCGGGAGGAACACCAGUGGCGAAGGCGGCCUACUGGGCACCAACUGACGCUGAGGCUCGAAAGUGUGGGUAGCAAACAGGAUUAGAUACCCUGGUAGUCCACACCGUAAACGAGAUUUAUAAGGUGUGGGAGGAUGACCCCCUUCAGUGCCGCAGUUAACACAAAUAAGUAAUCCACCGGGGGAGUACGACCGCAAGGUUGAAACUCAAAGGAAUUGACGGGGGCCCGCACCAAGCAGUGGAGUAUGUGGUUUAAUUCGACGCAAACGCGAAGAACCUUACCAAGUCUUGACAUCCCUUGACAGGCAUAGAAAUAUGUUUUCUCUUCGGAGCAAGGAGACAGGUGGUGCAUGGUUGUCGUCAGCUCGUGUCGUGAGAUGUUGGGUUAAGUCCCGCAACGAGCGCAACCCUUAUGGUCAGUUACUACGCAAGAGGACUCUGGCCAGACUGCCGUUGACAAAACGGAGGAAGGUGGGGAUGACGUCAAAUCAUCAUGCCCUUUAUGACUUGGGCUACACACGUACUACAAUGGCGUUAAACAAAGAGAAGCAAGACCGCGAGGUGGAGCAAAACUCAGAAACAACGUCCCAGUUCGGACUGCAGGCUGCAACUCGCCUGCACGAAGUCGGAAUUGCUAGUAAUCGUGGAUCAGCAUGCCACGGUGAAUACGUUCCCGGGCCUUGCACU
rnacentral:rRNA from 1 species